CGAAUUAGUUCGAGCUAAUUAUACCUAGUGUUUAGGCUCGUUGAGGAGCGUGUAGCAAAACGUUAGAAAGAGGUAUAAUUAGGAGUGAUAGGCCUCCCAAGAAUUAAGAUAUCUUGAUGGCCCUGAAAUGUAUUUAGUACAUACUUACAAAUAUAGAGUGUUUAGGCUCUAUAUUAUCUUCAAACUUAUUGAAUGUGUGUAAGGGUUUAAUAGCCUCUUACUUAUAAACACUAAUAUAUGUCUAAGAGUAAUUAAGAAUAUAGUAGGGGCUUUUAACGGCAAAUCUAACCCAAUAGUAAUAAUGUUGUCAUAAGUAUUUACUAAAGGCGUCCGGAACGAACUCGGCCAAUAUAGCUCUCGACUGUUUACCAAAAACAUAGCUGUACGAAUGUAUGUGUAGUUAUUUCUGCUCAAUGUAACAUAAAUAGCCGCAGUACCCUGACUGUGCAAAGGUAGCAUAAUCAGUUGGCUUAUAAUUGAAGUCUAGUAUGAAAGAAAACACGGGGGUUAGCUAUCUAAGGGAUGGUGUAAAAAAUUACUUAAUAGGUGAAAAUUCCUAUAUAAAAAUAAUAGACGAGAAGACCCUAGAAAUUUUCAGGAAUUCAUUGUGUGGAUGAGAGGUUUUUGUUGGGGCGACGCAGUAGCAUAAAACCUGCUGAGAAAAAUUUGAUUUUUUUAUUAUGUUUAAUUAAAUUACUUUAGGGAUAACAGCAUAAUAUUUAAAAGUUUGUGACCUCGAUGUUGGACUAGGAUAGCAUAACCCAGAAGGUUAUUGCACGAGCUCUGUU
rnacentral:rRNA from 1 species